GAUGAAGAACGCAGCGAAAUGCGAUACGUAAUGUGAAUUGCAGAAUUCAGUGAAUCAUCGAGUCUUUGAACGCACAUUGCGCCCCAUGGUAUUCCGGGGGGCAUGCCUGUCCGAGCGUCAUUGCUGCCCUCAAGCACGGCUUGUGUGUUGGGCCUCCGUCCUCCUCCCGGGGGACGGGCCCGAAAGGCAGCGGCGGCACCGCGUCCGGUCCUCGAGCGUAUGGGGCUUCGUCACCCGCUCUUGUAGGCCCGGCCGGCGCUUGCCGACACAUCAAUCUUUUUUCCAGGUUGACCUCGGAUCAGGUAGGGAUACCCGCUGAACUUAAGCAUAUCAAUAAGCGGAGGA
rnacentral:misc_RNA from 1 species